GAUCCUGGCUCAGGAUGAACGCUAGCUACAGGCUUAACACAUGCAAGUCGAGGGGAAACGACAUCGAAAGCUUGCUUUUGAUGGGCGUCGACCGGCGCACGGGUGAGUAGCGCGUAUCCAACCUGCCCACCACUUGGGGAUAACCUUGCGAAAGUAAAGACUAAUACCCAACUGAUAUCUCUAGAAGACAUCUGAAAGAAGAUUAAAGAUUUAUUCGGUGAUGGAUGGGGAGUGCGU
rnacentral:rRNA from 1 species